AUUGAACGCUGGCGGCAGGCCUAACACAUGCAAGUCGAGCGAGUGGCGGACGGGUGAGGAAUGCAAGGGGAUUUGCCAGAUAGAGGGGGAUAACUACUGGAAACGGUGGGUAACACCGCACACUUGCGGAUGAACCCAGGUGGGCUUAGCUAGUAGGUGGGGUAAAGGCUCACCUGGGCGACGACCGCUAGCUGGUCUGAGAGGAUGAUCAGCCGAGCUGGGACUGAGACACGGCCCAGACUCCUACGGGAGGCAGCAGUGGGGAAUAUUGCAAAAUGGGCGCAAGCCUGAUGCAGCCAUGCCGCGUGUAUGAAGAGGGCCUUAGGGUUGUAAAGUACUUACAGCGGGGAGGCGUUACCCGCAGAAGAAGCGCCGGCUAACUCCGUGCCAGCAGCCGCGGUAAUUC
rnacentral:rRNA from 1 species